rnacentral:rRNA from 1 species
GAUGAACGCUGGCGGCGUGCCUAAUACAUGCAAGUCGAGCGAACGGACGAGAAGCUUGCUUCUCUGAUGUUAGCGGCGGACGGGUGAGUAACACGUGGAUAACCUACCUAUAAGACUGGGAUAACUUCGGGAAAACGGAGCUAAUACCGGAUAAUAUUUUGAACCGCAUGGUUCAAAAGUGAAAGACGGUCUUGCUGUCACUUAUAGAUGGAUCCGCGCUGCAUUAGCUAGUUGGUAAGGUAACGGCUUACCAAGGCAACGAUGCAUAGCCGACCUGAGAGGGUGAUCGGCCACACUGGAACUGAGACACGGUCCAGACUCCUACGGGAGGCAGCAGUAGGGAAUCUUCCGCAAUGGGCGAAAGCCUGACGGUGCAACGCCGCGUGAGUGAUGAAGGUCUUCGGAUCGUAAAGCUCUGUUAUUAGGGAAGAACAUAUGUGUAAGUAACUGUGCACAUCUUGACGGUACCUAAUCAGAAAGCCACGGCUAACUACGUG